GCCAACGCUCGUCGCUUGACAUUUCGAAAUUUUGUCAACUAUUCCCAAUUUAAAAUACCUACAGUGACAAAUGCAAAAAGAAAGACAGUGAUAUGAGAAUACGCUUCGAAGUGCCCAAUAAGUUGGAGAUAACGUUCGGGAGAGAAGCAGAAUGCGACGGCUGCGGCAGCGAAGCGGACGAGGGCAGAGGCGUCGGGGAGUUGCUUCUGCCGCAGUACGCGCUCGCGACCGGGGGCCUGGCGAAGGACCAUCGCCCGCUCAUCACGUUCCCCGACAAUAAUAACUUCCAUCUCCUCUCCGCCUCGGAGUACAGGAGACUGCUUCUCUACCUCACCUCAGUGCCCUCAUUAUUAGAAGCUGACAUGGGCUUCCACAUAAUAAUAGAUCGGAGGAAAGACAGAUGGAAUUCAGUGAAGACAGUGCUUUUAAGGGUUUCUGAAUUCUUCCCUGGUGUCAUCCACGCGGUAUACGUGCUGCGACCCGCCAGCUUUCUCCAGAAGGCGCUGUCAGAAGUCAGCAGCAAGCUGUUCAAAGAAGAGUUCAGGUUUCGGGUCCUCGUGUGCUCGUCCAUAGAGGAGCUUUACGAGCAUUUCGAUAAGACGCAGCUGACACCAGACCUGGGGGGAGACCUGCAGUAUUCCCAUUCUGAGUGGAUACAGCAGCGGAUAGCUUUAGAGAAGUUUUCGACGCUAAUGAAAGAGAUCUCAAACAAAUUGGACAAUUUCAUGCACGAAAUUGUCGAUUGCGAUAUGGGUAACGAUCCCUCACAGACCAAAGAACUGCUAGACUCACAAGAAACUAGGUAUAAAGCUUUAAAAACAGAACUGGCGUCAGCUACUGCGCAAGGUGAAGAGUUGUUGACGCAAGUGCGAAAACCAAAUCUUAAUUAUAAUAUAAUAAGUCAUGUUGCUGCUGUUGAGAGGCUUUUGGUGCAACUUGAAGAGACUGAAAAACAAUUUGAUAAUUUUUGGCAAAAACAUUCCAUGAAACUAAACCACUGGUUAAAAUUUAGGACAUUUUUAUUAAACUUUAAACAAAUGCAGGCAACUUUAGACGGUCAUCUAAAGACAGCGUGCGACAUGACCGAAGUGGGGGAGACUGCGAACAGGGUAGAGAACCUCAUUCAGGAGGCGACAGACUUUGAGAAAUUAUGCACCUGUGAUCUUGAAACCGCCAAUGCAGUUAUAGAUGACGGUGAGAGUCUAAUGCAAGACCCGCUAAGUUCAGUUGACCACAUAGAGUCCAAAUGCGAAGAACUGAGACGAACGAGUGCAUUACUAGUCGAUAAAAUACAGAAACGAAAUUUAUUGUUGGCGAAAGCGCGGGAUCUUAUGGACAGGAUAGAUAAGGCAAACCAAUGGUGCGCGACGGGUGUGGAAUUGCUAGCAGGAGAAAAGGGGUUGAUAGCCGUGGACAAACUCCUGGAAGACGCCAAGAGCUUCGGCCUCACCACGCCAGAACAAUUCCGGGAGAUGAUGAUGCAGUCUGCAACACAGGAGACUAGGGCAUUGGUCACACAGGUGGCGCAACGUGUGGAAGACAUGUGGCUGAUGGUGUCGGUGAAGCGGGCGACGCUGCAGCGGGCGGCGGCCAAGCCGGCGCGGCCGGUGCAGUCCGUGCCGCCGCAGAGCGCCUCGCUGCCUGCGCCGGCUGGCAAAGAGAUGGAAACAUCGGGCGGGUCGGAGAGUUCAAGCGAAGACGCGGAGGCGCAGCGGUCCAGACGCGGCCAUGUGCUAGCCGAACUGUUGCAGACUGAGAGGGUGUACGUUCAGGAGCUAGGCUCCAUCCUCACCGGCUACAAAGAAGAGAUAGAGAAGCCGGAGAACCAGCACCUCCUGCCGUCGGCACUGGUGGGGCAGUCGGACGUGCUGUUCGGGAACCUUCACGAACUGUUCACAUUCCACCAGGACGUGUUCCUCAAGGAUCUGGAGCGGUCCAUCUCGGCGACGGAGCUCGUCGCUCUGUGUUUUGUUGAAAAGAGGGAGACGUUCUUCCGCCUAUACAGUUACUACUGCCAGAACAUUCCUCGCUCGGAGCGGCUCAGAGAGACCCUGGUCGACACGCAUCUGUUCCUGCAAGCCUGCCAACUACGACUUGGACACAAAUUGCCUUUGGCCGCUUAUCUCCUGAAACCAGUGCAAAGGAUCACAAAAUAUCAGCUUUUACUGAAGGACCUGAUCCGCUACAGCGAGUGCAACCACUCGAUGACGACGGGUCUGCAGCAGGCGCUGGACUGCAUGCUGGUCGUGCUGAAGUGCGUCAACGACUCCAUGCACCAGAUCGCCAUCACGGGCGUCCCGGUGGAUCUCAGUCAGCAAGGGGAGCUUCUAAUGCAAGGUUCCUUCCUGGUGGUGUCAGAAAACAAGAGAGAUCUCAGGCUUAGGAUAAGGCCGCGACGCCGCCAUAUAUUCCUGUAUGAGAAAGCCAUGCUUUUCUGCAAGCCAGCGACGAAGAACAGCCAUAAUAAGGCGACUUAUCACUUUAAACAUGAUCUCCAGAUGUCACAAAUAGGUUUAACAGAAUCAGUAAAAGGCGAUCCUCGGAAAUUCGAAGUGUGGAGACAAGGCAGGCAGGAGGUCCACACGAUAAUAGCGCCCACGGUGGAGAUAAAGCGAGCGUGGGUGGACCGCAUAAAGAGAGUGCUGCUCGAUCAACUGAAGGAGUUGAAAGGGGAGAGAGUACGACAAUACGGAGCUCAGCACAGGACCCUAAUCCAAACUAACUCGUGGGACGUGGCUCCGGGCGGCGCCCCGGCGACGCGCGCGCCGCUGGCUGCGCCCGCGCCGCGCGCCGCUUCGGUGGAGGCGGGCGACGAGCCGUGCUGGUCCACCGACCCCUCCGACGACGACGACGACGACACGGACCACGCGCCGGUGACGGAGGCCGUGGGUCUCAACGGUACCAUACACAGAAUGGUACAAUUCUUUUCUGUAUCGGGCUCCACGCAAGCCACCUCCACGUUUUACGUAUCACAGUACUGAUAAAUACCUUUACCAACCCGUAGAGGUUUUGUAAAUAUGAUGAAAAGAGACUGACUUACUAUCCAAAGUGUUACCUAACCAAAGAAUUAGACACGGAACGUGGAUAUUUCAGUUGUAUUUGCCGAACUUUAACUAUCGUGCGGUGGGGUGCGCCCUGGUGGCGCUGUCGGACUACACGGCGGUGGGCGCGAGCGAGGUCUCGCUGCGGGAGGGGCAGCACGCCGAG
rnacentral:misc_RNA from 1 species